rnacentral:rRNA from 1 species
GACCCCAGGUCAGGCGGGGCCACCCGCUGAGUUUAAGCAUAUCA